CAAAAUUAGUUAUACUUAUUCAUAUUAGAUCUUGAAAGAUAACAUAUAUUUAACUCAGUAAUCGACUCAACAGAUUCAGUUUCUUUAUUCUAGACAUUCUACCCUGGCUCCAUGUAUUUUACAGAUUAUUUGGAGAAAUGACAUUCAUUUCAUGUGUCAAUGCUUAUAAAAGAGGGGAAGGAAACUGAAAUAUGACAAGGUUAAAUGAUUCAGAUGAGGUCCCAGAAAGCAUGUCUCCCAAGACACAUUCCUGGAAGCAGGUCAUUAAAGCUGCUCUCGGUUUAAAAUCAACCGAAUGCACAGAUAUCAGAUGCGGAAACUGAGGCACAGGGAAGUUGAGCAACUUGCUCAAGGUCAUAAAGCUAGAAGGAGGCGCAGCCAAGCAUGGGCUUGUUUGACCUCAAAGCCUACAUUCUCGCCACUGCUCUAAACUGCUUAUUCUGUUGGCUUGUCAUAAUGAUUGAAGACAAUGUACAUAAAUCACAGAGGGUAAGACUCAGCUCGUAAUAUGUCUUCCAUACAUUUUAGCGAACACUAUUAAUAAACAACAGAUAAAUCAGUGCUUGGUUUGAUUAAAUUAUAUAUGAUUGUA